CGCUCGUAGUCGGAUUUCGGGGCGAUCCCGCCGGUCUGCCGUUGGGUAUGCACUGGUGGGCGCGUCCUUCCUUCCGGAGACCGUUCCUACUCUUAGCUGAGCGGGGACGGGAGACGGAUCGUUUACUUUGAAAAAAUCAGAGUGUUUCAAGCAGGCAUUUGCUCUUGCAUGGAUUAGCAUGGGAUAAUGAAAUAGGACUUUGGUGCUAUUUUGUUGGUUUCGAACACCGAAAGUAAUGAUUAACAGGGACAGUCAGGGGCACUCGUAUUCCGCCGAGAGAGGUGAAAUUCUCAGACCAGCGGAAGACGAACCACUGCGAAAGCAUUUGCCAGGGAUGUUUUCACUGAUCAAGAACGAAAGUUAGGGGAUCGAAGACGAUCAGAUACCGUCGUAGUCUUAACCAUAAACCAUGCCGACUAGGGAUCCGUGGGUGUUCUUUCUUGACCCCAUGGGCACCUUACGGGAAACUAAAGUCUUUGGGUUCCGGGGGGAGUAUGGUCGCAAGGCUGAAACUUAAAGGAAUUGACGGAAGGGCACCACCAGGAGUGGAGCCUGCGGCUUAAUUUGACUCAACACGGGGAAACUUACCAGGUCCAGACAUUGUGAGGAUUGACAGAUUGAGAGCUCUUUCUUGAUUC
rnacentral:rRNA from 1 species